ACUCUGAGACAGGUGCUGCAUGGCUGUCGUCAGCUCGUGUUGUGAAAUGUUGGGUUAAGUCCCGCAACGAGCGCAACCCUUAUCCUUGUUUGCCAGCACGUAAUGGUGGGAACUCCAGGGAGACUGCCGGUGAUAAACCGGAGGAAGGUGGGGACGACGUCAAGUCAUCAUGGCCCUUACGAGUAGGGCUACACACGUGCUACAAUGGCGUAUACAGAGGGCUGCCAACCAGCGAUGGUGAGCGAAUCCCACAAAGUACGUCGUAGUCCGGAUCGGAGUCUGCAACUCGACUCCGUGAAGUCGGAAUCGCUAGUAAUCGUGAAUCAGAAUGUCACGGUGAAUACGUUCCCGGGCCUUGUACACACCGCCCGUCACACCAUGGGAGUGGGCUGCACCAGAAGUAGAUAGCUUAACCUUCGGGAGGGCGUUUACCACGGUGUGGUUCAUGACUGGGGUGAAGUCGUAACAAGGUAGCCCUAGGGGAACCUGGGGCUGGAUCACCUCCUUACCUAA
rnacentral:rRNA from 1 species